rnacentral:misc_RNA from 1 species
GACGAAGGUGGCAACCGUUGUUCGGAAUCACUGGGCAUAAAGCGCACGUAGGCGGCGUCGUAAGUCGGGUGUGAAAUCCCUCGGCCCAACCGAGGAACUGCGCCCGAUACUGCGGCGCUUGAGGGCAGGAGGGGAGCACGGAAUUCCCGGUGGAGCGGUGAAAUGCGUUGAUAUCGGGAGGAACACCGGCGGCGAAGGCGGUGCUCUGGUCUGCUUCUGACGCUGAGGUGCGAAAGCCAGGGGAGCAAACGGG